ensembl:snRNA U6 U6 spliceosomal RNA
GUGCUCGCUUCGGCAGCACAUAUACUAAAAUUGGAAUGAUACAGAGAAAGAUUAGCAUGGCCUCUGUGCAAAGAUAAUAUAUAAAUUUGUGAGGCGUUCCAUCUUUUG